rnacentral:lncRNA from 1 species
CUAAUUUGCAUUGAAACUUACAAGAUUAGCUUGUACAACUUGCAUUGCUGACUUUUCAGUCAAUCAAUAUCAAAACAUUUACCUACUUAGUUCAACAUGAACUAGAUUACAAAACAAUCAAAAUGGAACCAAAACAGCAAGUGGAUUGGCAGCUUCAAACUUCAGUUGCUGCACACAAUGGCACCACUGCUUGCUGCUAUUUCUUCGAGCAUCACCACCUUUGCAUGUCGUGCAUGGCCACCUUUGCAUGGGAACUAAACUUAACACUCCUCCUUAGUUUCCAUGCUAGUAACACCUAAUUCCCUUUUGAAUUUAACAAAUUUAGACACAUUGAGUGCCUUUGUGAAGAUAUCAGCAAUUUGCACUUCUGAACUGCAAUGAAUCAGCUCGAUUUCAUGAGCUUGUUCCAUCUCCCUUAUAACAUGCAACUUAAUAUUGAAGUGCUUGGUUCUACCAUGAAAAAUGGGAUUUUUUGCAAUUGCAACAGCAGAUUUGUUGUCGCAAUAAAUCUCUGUUGCCUCUUUUUGGUUAUGGUUUAAAUCAGCCAAGAUUUUUCUAAGCCAUAUGGCUUGAUUCACAGCAGAUGCAGCAGCAACAUAUUCAGCUUCUGCUGUUGAUUGUGCCACCUGACUUUGUUUCUUAGAGCUCCAGCAAAACAUGCCUGAGCCAAGACUAAAUGCAUAUCCGGAUGUGCUCCUCAUGUCAUCACUCGAUCCAGCCCAGUCACUAUCAACNNNNNNNNNNNNNNNNNNNNNNNNNNNNNNNNNNNNNNNNNNNNNNNNNNNNNNNNNNNNNNNNNNNNNNNNNNNNNNNNNNNNNNNNNNNNNNNNNNNNNNNNNNNNNNNNNNNNNNNNNNNNNNNNNNNNNNNNNNNNNNNNNNNNNNNNNNNNNGGUCUUGUUGCAGUCAAAUACAACAGACUACCAAUGAGACUCUUGUACAUAGUCUCACAAAUUGGUUCACCACUCCCUUGCCUCGAAAGCUUCACUCCAACAGCCAUUGGUGUGCUUGUUGGCUUGCAGUUCUUCAUAGAGAACUUAUCCAGGAUCUUCAUAGUAAAAGAACUCUGACUAAGAAAGAUUCCCUUUUCUGUUUGCUUCACUUCCAUUCCAAGAAAGUAGUUCAUUCUGCCUAAAUCAGACAUUUCAAACAUUUCCAUCAUUUUUCUUUUGAAAUCUGCGAGCAUUCUUCUAUCUCCUCCAGUUACCAGUAAAUCAUCAACAUAGAGUGACAGGAUAAGCUGAGUUUCAGCUUGGUUCUUCUUCACAUACAGUGUUGGUUCACUGGGACUUCUCUCAAAUUCCAAACUGAGCAAGUAAGAGUCAAUUCGAGCAUACCAGGCUCGAGGAGCCUGUUUCAGGCCAUAUAAAGCCUUUUUCAGUCUGUACACCAUGUGUUCUUUGUCAGUGAUCACAAAUCCUUGAGGCUGCUCGAUGUAGAUCUCUUCUUCCAGGAAACCAUUAAGAAAUGCAGACUUAACAUCAAGCUGAUGAAUGGUCCACUGAUGUUGAGCAGCCAAGGCAACUAUCAUUCUAACUGUGUCAAGCCUGGCUACUGGUGCAAAUGUCUCCAGGUAGUCCAGACCAUACCUUUGGCUAAAUCCUUUGACAACAAGCCUGGCUUUUAGCUUGUUCAGACUGCCAUCUGCAUUCUGUUUUACUCGAUAGACCCAUUUUACUCCAAUGGUCUUCUUUCCAGCAGGUUUAUCAACUAGCUCCCAUGUCUGGUUCUUCUCAAUCAUGUUGAUUUCAUUGACCAUAGCUAGUUUCCAGCCUUCAUCUGCCUCAGACUCUUCAAAACUGCUAGGUUCUGCUAUUGCAACCUGUGCCCUUUCAUAAAUAUCAUCUAGGGGCCUUGUGCCUCUCACAGGCACAUCAUCAACAUUCAUUUCAGGUCCUAGCUGCUCAAGUUCAGCUUGAUUAGGCACUAGGUCUUCUGAAACUGCUUCUGGCUCAUUUUUCUCCCAAUUCCAGCAGGCUUUUUCAUCAAAGAUGACAUCUCUGCUCACCUGGACUUUGUUUGUCAAGGGAUCCAGAACCCUGUAGCCCUUCUUGACUGAGCUGUAGCCUACUAGAACACCUGGUUGAGCCCUUUUAGAGAGCUUGUCUCUCUUUGCUGCUGGUAUUUGUGCAUAACAAAGGCAACCAAACACCUUCAGAUGUGCCAAAGAAGGCUUGAAACUGAACCAAGCCUCGAAAGGUGUCUCGGAUGCAAGAGCUUUGGUAGGAAGCCUGUUCUGAAGGUAAACUGCAGUGUUUACUGCCUCAGCCCACAUGGUUUUGGGCAGUUUCUUUUCAAACAGGAGACAUCUGGCCAUAUCCAUCAGGCUUCUAUUCUUUCUUUCAGCUACCCCAUUCUGCUGAGGUGUGUAGACAUUUGUAAGCUGAUGUUUGAUACCAGCGUCAUUGCAAAUGGCUUGAAACUGAGCUGAAGUGUACUCAGUGCCAUUGUCUGUCCUUAUCGAUUUCAGCUUGCAACCUGUUUCUUUCUCUACAGCAGUUUUAAACUUCACAAACACUUGAGCUACCUCAGACUUGUGUUUUAAGAAGAAAAUCCAGCAAAACCUUGUAAGAUCAUCAAUGAAGAGGAUGAAAUACCUGUUUUUGCUGAGUGAUUCAGUCCUCAUCGGGCCACAUACAUCAGAGUGCACCAGCUGCAGUCUUUCAGUAGCUCUCCAAGCUGAAUUUGUAGGAAAUGGCAGUCUUGCCUGUUUCCCCAUCUGGCAAACUUCACAUACAUCAUCAUGCUCCACUGAGCUGGUGAAGUUCUCUGCCAAACCCUCUUUGGCCAUUCGAGCCAUUGAUCUGAAGUUGGCAUGUCCAAGCCUUUGAUGCCAAAGCUUGGAGUCAUCAACAGAGGCUGUGUAUGCUGAGUUUGAGUCAUUUGCCCAGUGAACCUCAAAGCAUUUAUCAGUCAUUGUGACUGUCAUAAGGCUUGAUCCACUUGGAUCAGUAAUGUGGCAUUGUUUGUCCUUGAACACAACAGAAUAACCUUUCUCGAGCAGUUGAGCUAUGCUGAGAAGGUUUCUGUCAAUCUCUGGCACCAACAGCACAUUUGGAAUGAUCUUGUUGCCUGUGGGAGUACAUAUCAGCACUUCUCCUCUUCCUUCAGUCCUUAUAAACUGACCAUUUCCAACCUUGACCUUGGUUUUAUAACUUCUGUCCAAGGUUUUAAACAAGGAGGCAUCUGGUGACAUGUGGUUAGUGCAACCACUGUCCAGCAACCAGCCUUUUGAGCAUUUCUUCUGAACAGCUAAGCAGGAAACAGCAAAGACCUGUUCUUCUUGGUCACUACUGUCCUCAGCUACUCGAGCUUCAACCUUUGACUGCUGAAAUUGAUUCUGCCUUGGCUUACUCCUGUUUUUACAGACCCUUUCAACAUGGCCCUUCUUCUUGCAGUGUUGGCAUACUGCAUCUGGCCUAAACCAGCAUCUGUCUUCUGGAUGACCUGGCCUCUUGCAAUGUCUGCAGGGCUGGUCAUUACUCCUUGCAGUAUCAGUCUUAGGCCUGUUUUUCCAAGGCCUUUUGCCUCUUGCAGCUUUGAAGCUCGAGGCUUCUCUGGCCUUGGCAUUGAAUGCACCUUCCUGGUGAUCUUCAGCUCUGCUAGCUCUCCUUUGUUCCUGAGCAUAGAAAGUGUUGAUUAGCUCAGUCAAAGAGAUGGUAGCAAGGUCUCUUGAGUCCUCUAAGGAGGAUAUCUUGGCCUCAUAUCUCUCAGACAAAGUGGAGAGGACCUUUUCCACAAUUCUUGCCUCAUCAAAGUGCUCACCAAGGAGCCUUAUACUGUUAACCACUGCUAUGAUUCUGUCUGCAUACUGCUUCACUGUUUCUUCUUCCUUCAUCUUUAGAUUCUCGAAAUCCCUUCUCAAAUUUAAUAGCUGCUGUUGCCUUGUUCUCUCAGUGCCUUGAAACUCCUCCUUAAGCUUAUCCCAGGCCUGUUUUGGAGUCUCACAGGCCAUAAUUCUGGUGAAGAUGACAUCUGAUACACAGUUCUGGAUGCAGGACAUGGCUUUAUGCCUUUUGGUCCUCUCAUCAGCAUGCUGCCUUAUCUGAGCUACUGUGGGAUUAGCCCUCAGUGGUGCUGGCUCAGCAUCUGUGUUAACAACUUCCCACAGAUCAAAGGCCUGCAGGUAAGUCUUCAUCUUGACCAGCCAUAUGUGGAAGCCAUCUCCAUUGAAGACUGGUGGGGCUGCUGGUGAAAAACUUGAGGAAGACAUUCAGCUUUCUUAGUUUAAUACAACAGGUCCACUAAGAAUGAAGCUCUAGAUACCAAUUGUUGGAACAAAGAGACAAUAACAGGCUGUUUUGUAUCUUGCUUGAAUAGCAAGCCUCGAGCCUUGUUGAAGAAACAAACUCAGAAGCAAAACAGAAAAUGAAACUAGCAGGCGAAUAACAGAAAAGAGAGAAGAAGAUUGAAUGAAAAAAAUGAGCUGAUAUUUUUUCAUUGACUCAAAACAAGGCAUUAAGUCAUUACAUAUUUCAGUCAACAAGUAAAACAAACAAGUAAUCACCUAAUCAACUACCUAACUCCACUAAUUUGCAUUGAAACUUACAAGAUUAGCUUGUACAACUUGCAUUGCUGACUUUUCAGUCAAUCAAUAUCAAAACAUUUACCUACUUAGUUCAACAUGAACUAGAUUACAAAACAAUCAAAAUGGAACCAAAACAGCAAGUGGAUUGGCAGCUUCAAACUUCAGUUGCUGCACACAAUGGCACCACUGCUUGCUGCUAUUUCUUCGAGCAUCACCACCUUUGCAUGUCGUGCAUGGCCACCUUUGCAUGGGAACUAAACUUAAC